GUUCAUCUAAAUGGUUAAUGUCCUUGUGCUCCUAACUGUCAAUCACCUAGUGGGGUGAUUGCCAGUGGGCGGGGCAUCACCUCAGAGUGGGUCAUGUGACUACUAGAGAGGGGUGGAUAGGUGCUGUCAGUGUAGCUGAGAAGGAGACUGCAGAUCCUCUGGUGAGAGCACACACCUCAUUGCUGCUCCGGCCGUCGCCCACAUUAGAGCUGAGUGGUAUACAUUGCGGCGGCCGGAGGGGGCUUAGUGUGUGAAGCCAGAGCAGAGCUUCCUGGCAGUAAAGGUGGCGUCAACGGCAUUGAGGCUCAGCACUGUUCACAGAACCCGGCAUCAGUGUUAGUCAAAUCAACCAGCAGUAUUAGAAGGGCGCGUCUGUGACAGGGAGGCGGAGAGGGUUCCUUCCUGUACCCCGAGUUAUGGCAUCUCUACCUACUACAGACACAGACUCUGACAGUCACAACACAGAAGCAGCAGAGGCUCCAUUCUGUGUGGCUGUAAGUGUAAGGGAGAAGUUGGGGGAGUGUCGGCAGGAGGCGGAGACUGAGCAGCAGUGAGGCAUUUAUCAGUUAUUAUGUGGGCAUUCCAACUUCUACCAAUGAUGAUGUCUCAGCUUGUGUGUGCCCUCCUGCAAUCUGUCAUACUGUAGCUUUUUCUCUCUAGCCAUAUAUUAUUUUUAACAUUCCAUUCAGCUCUAUUUAUUGGCCGUCUUGGAACAAAAUAGCUCUGAUUUGACAAAUGCACUGAAUACAUUUUUUGAUAGCAAAAUAAACUAUAUAUAUUUUGAAA